rnacentral:rRNA from 1 species
UACGGAGGGUGCAAGCGUUUGUCCGGAUUUAUUGGGUUUAAAGGGUGCGUAGGCGGCUCUGUAAGUCAGCGUUGAAAUAUGGCAGCUUAACUGUCAGACUGGCAUUGAUACUGCAGGGCUUGAGUGAAGUCGAGGUUGGCGGAAUUGACGGUGUAGCGGUGAAAUGCAUAGAUAUCGUCAAGAACACCUAUUGCGAAGGCAGCUAACUAGACUUUAACUGACGCUGAGGCACGAAAGCGUGGGGAUCAAACAGG